AGAGGAAGUGAAAAGCUUACCUAGGGCACAGCUAUUAGCUAAAAAACCUAUUACCUCAAAAAAAAUGCAGAGGAUACCAUAUGUCUCUGUAUAUGAUAAUAAUUCUAAAAUUUGUCGUAGAAUCAUCAUGAAAUAUUGGGGUAUUUUAAGUUCUGAUUCGAAACACGGACACUUGUUUCAGCAGCCACCACUGUUCUCUUACAAACGUGGGAAAAACAUUGGGGACUUUGUAAAAACCAACAAAAAAGAAAGAAAAAGUGGGAUUUUUCCUGUUAAACCUGAGUUGAAUGGCACAUUUCCGUGCAGAAACUGUGGCCAUUGUAAUAGUAUUAUACUAGGGAAUUAUGUAACACACCCCCACAAAGGUUCCAAACAUGCUAUACAUGGCUGUUUUUCUUGUGACAGUAAAGAGGUCAUUUACUGUUUAAAGUGUCCAUGUGGACUAGCCUACGUUGGUCAAACCUCUCGAUCAAUGAAGGUUAGAUUAAAUGAACACAAAAGCGUACUCAGAAAUUAUAAACCCCUGCCGACUCCAUUCCCAAAAAAGAAAAGUAAUGAGGAAGAAACAAGUAAACCAAAAAAAGAAACUUUAUUGGCGAAACAUUUUUACGAGCAGGGCCAUAGAGUGGCACAAUUAAGAUGGCAAAUUUUGGAGAAAGUAACUGCGUUUUCUGGACAGGAUAAUAAACGUAAGCUAUUACAGAGGGAAUGCUUUUGGAUUUGGUGUCUACAAUCUAGACACCCGAGGGGACUUAACGAGGAAUAUAAUCUAUCAUGUUUUCUAUAAAGCAGAGUUAUGCUUAGCAAUUGAUCUUCUUUUAAUUGGAAGAAUUAAAUAUAAUAAUUUUUUUUCGCAUUUUUUUCAGAUGAGAACACUCUUGUAGACACCAGGGACAGUAUCUUUUACAGCACUAUCACCAGCUGGAUUUACCACAUUCUGGACAUUUUAAUGUAUAUUUAUUUAUACAUGUGCACAUUAUGCACUUGUUUGGAUCUUUUUAUUAGGUUUUUAAAUUAUAUGGGUUCAUAAUCCAAUCACAUUGGCUGAAGGAUCAGGUUCCUUGAGAAUAUACACAGCAUGUCAUUAAUAUGCUAAUUAUGUUAAUUGCACACCUGUUUUAUACACUGCACGAUGGUCACUGUUUGUAUGCUUGAGAAAGGGGUAGGAACCCCGAAACGUCGCACGUCCGCUUAAAUAAAAGUAGCAAGGGGUAACCCUGCUUUUUCAAUU